rnacentral:lncRNA from 1 species
GUCAGAGAAAAGGGUAUCUUUUCUCCCUGGUCACAAGGCUGUAAGUAUGGAAGCCCAGCAUCAAAGAGCCAUGCCCCCACCUAAGAAAGAAGUUGUUCUAAGGAAAAUGAAACCAGUAUACAGACAGCAGGAUGGAUCUGCAAGAAAUACAUCUACCAGCUGGGUGCAGUUGAACAAAAUCAUUACAGGAUUAGCAGUUUUCUGACCCACUUACUAAAAAGAAGCUGAAUCACUGAAUUGAGACCCCAGGGAAAUGCAGAUUUA